rnacentral:guide_RNA from 1 species
UAUCAUAUAGACUGUGUGAGAAUUAUUGU